rnacentral:rRNA from 1 species
AGAGUUUGAUCCUGGCUCAGAUUGAACGCUGGCGGCAUGCUUUACACAUGCAAGUCGAACGGCAGCGCGGGGCAACCUGGCGGCGAGUGGCGAACGGGUGAGUAAUAUAUCGGAACGUACCCAGAAGUGGGGGAUAACGUAGCGAAAGUUACGCUAAUACCGCAUACGAUCUACGGAUGAAAGUGGGGGACCUUCGGGCCUCAUGCUUGUGGAGCGGCCGAUAUCUGAUUAGCUAGUUGGUAGGGUAAAGGCCUACCAAGGCGACGAUCAGUAGCUGGUCUGAGAGGACGACCAGCCACACUGGGACUGAGACACGGCCCAGACUCCUACGGGAGGCAGCAGUGGGGAAUUUUGGACAAUGGGCGCAAGCCUGAUCCAGCAAUGCCGCGUGAGUGAAGAAGGCCUUCGGGUUGUAAAGCUCUUUUGUCAGGGAAGAAACGGCUGCGGCUAAUAUCUGCGGCUAAUGACGGUACCUGAAGAAUAAGCACCGGCUAACUACGUGCCAGCAGCCGCGGUAAUACGUAGGGUGCAAGCGUUAAUCGGAAUUACUGGGCGUAAAGCGUGCGCAGGCGGUUUUGUAAGUCUGUCGUGAAAUCCCCGGGCUCAACCUGGGAAUUGCGAUGGAGACUGCAAGGCUAGAAUCUGGCAGAGGGGGGUAGAAUUCCACGUGUAGCAGUGAAAUGCGUAGAGAUGUGGAGGAACACCGAUGGCGAAGGCAGCCCCCUGGGUCAAGAUUGACGCUCAUGCACGAAAGCGUGGGGAGCAAACAGGAUUAGAUAC